rnacentral:rRNA from 1 species
AGCGCAGGCGGUUUGAUAAGUCUGAAGUUAAAGGCUGUGGCUCAACCAUAGUUCGCUUUGGAAACUGUCAAGCUUGAGUGCAGAAGGGGAGAGUGGAAUUCCAUGUGUAGCGGUGAAAUGCGUAGAUAUAUGGAGGAACACCGGUGGCGAAAGCGGCUCUCUGGUCUGUAACUGACGCCGAGGCUGAAAGCGUGGGGGAGCGAACA